GAGAGCCGAAUACAUCGAAAGGUGUACGUUCGGUUCGGAGGGGGGUUCACAGAAACCUGUCAUGGGGAACAUGGCAAGGCGCUGGGUUCCCACCCUAC
rnacentral:ncRNA from 3 species